ensembl:lncRNA novel transcript, antisense to NUDT4
GGGACUGGCGCUGGAGCCCAGCGUGGGAUGACCGUGCCCCGAAAACAUGCCAGUGAAUGGAAAGAAGCCAAGGUCCCCUCCCUCCCUGCUUAUACCCUCAACUUUGCCAAUGAGGACCCUAAAUACCAGCUGCACUACAGGGGAUGUAACUACAUACACCGUCACCAAAGUUGCAGCCUGGCCAAGAAAUGCCAGGGGACGUCGCGGCGAUUGCAGACUCCGCGGUGACUGUGUAGAUACGUCCAGAAUUCGCCCUUGUAGCGCGGGGAGAGGCGAGAGUGAAGGCCUAGAAAAGCUGGAGUGCAAUGGCGCCAUCUCAGCUCACUGCAACCUCUGCCUCCCGGGUUCAAGCGAUUCUCCUGCCUCAGCCUCCGGAGUAGCUGGGAUUACAGAAAGAAGAAUAAAUGGGACAUUACACAAGGUAUGUUUCUCUGAUUUUCCACUUUCUAUCCUUAGGACAGAAGAAAGAUCUGUAUUCAAGAUGGAAACAAGUUCCUUCCACAUUUGUUAUCAUGAAGGAUGUCUUGUGCUGUGAUUGAGAGGCUGCUCAUUAAGAAUCAUGAAAAGCUCGUUUGCAUGGUUUAGCAAUGAUGCAGAAUUACUUAUAAAAAUAUGAAGAAAAAUAGAUAGCAUGUUUAUAAACCCAAAGCUGGACCACACCCAGACAUUGUUUUUAAUAGUGCAUCAUGAUUAAGUUCAUCUUA